rnacentral:rRNA from 2 species
UACGGAGGGUGCAAGCGUUAUCCGGAUUCACUGGGUUUAAAGGGUGCGUAGGCGGCCUGAUAAGUCAGUGGUGAAAGCUCUCAGCUUAACUGGGAAACUGCCAUUGAAACUGUCAGGCUUGAGUACAAUUGAAGUGGGCGGAAUACAUCAUGUAGCGGUGAAAUGCUUAGAUAUGAUGUAGAACACCGAUUGCGAAGGCAGCUCACUAAAUUGCAACUGACGCUGAGGCACGAAAGCGUGGGUAGCGAACAGG